ACGGGUGAGUAAUACAUCGGAACGUGCCCAAUCGUGGGGGAUAACGCAGCGAAAGCUGUGCUAAUACCGCAUACGAUCUACGGAUGAAAGCAGGGGACCGCAAGGCCUUGCGCGAGUGGAGCGGCCGAUGGCAGAUUAGGUAGUUGGUGAGGUAAAGGCUCACCAAGCCGUCGAUCUGUAGCUGGUCUGAGAGGACGACCAGCCACACUGGGACUGAGACACGGCCCAGACUCCUACGGGAGGCAGCAGUGGGGAAUUUUGGACAAUGGGCGCAAGCCUGAUCCAGCAAUGCCGCGUGCAGGAUGAAGGCCUUCGGGUUGUAAACUGCUUUUGUACGGAACGAAACGGUUCUCUCUAAUACAGGGGGCUAAUGACGGUACCGUAAGAAUAAGCACCGGCUAACUACGUGCCAGCAGCCGCGGUAAUACGUAGGGUGCGAGCGUUAAUCGGAAUUACUGGGCGUAAAGCGUGCGCAGGCGGUUAUGUAAGACAGUUGUGAAAUCCCCGGGCUCAACCUGGGAAUUGCAUCUGUGACUGCAUAGCUAGAGUACGGUAGAGGGGGAUGGAAUUCCGCGUGUAGCAGU
rnacentral:rRNA from 1 species